ACGCUGGCGGCGUGCCUAAUACAUGCAAGUAGAACGCUGAAGGAGGAGCUUGCUUCUCCGGAUGAGUUGCGAACGGGUGAGUAACGCGUAGGUAACCUGCCUGGUAGCGGGGGAUAACUAUUGGAAACGAUAGCUAAUACCGCAUAAGAGUAGAUGUUGCAUGACAUUUGCUUAAAAGGUGCAAUUGCAUCACUACCAGAUGGACCUGCGUUGUAUUAGCUAGUUGGUGGGGUAACGGCUCACCAAGGCGACGAUACAUAGCCGACCUGAGAGGGUGGUCGGCCACACUGGGACUGAGACGCGGCCCAGACUCCUACGGGAGGCAGCAGUAGGGAAUCUUCGGCAAUGGACGGAAGUCUGACCGAGCAACGCCGCGUGAGUGAAGAAGGUUUUCGGAUCGUAAAGCUCUGUUGUAAGAGAAGAACGAGUGUGAGAGUGGAAAGUUCACACUGUGACGGUAUCUUACCAGAAAGGGACGGCUAACUACGUGCCAGCAGCCGCGGUAAUACGUAGGUCCCGAGCGUUGUCCGGAUUUAUUGGGCGUAAAGCGAGCGCAGGCGGUUAGAUAAGUCUGAAGUUAAAGGCUGUGGCUUAACCAUAGUACGCUUUGGAAACUGUUUAACUUGAGUGCAAGAGGGGAGAGUGGAAUUCCAUGUGUAGCGGUGAAAUGCGUAGAUAUAUGGAGGAACACCGGUGGCGAAAGCGGCUCUCUGGCUUGUAACUGACGCUGAGGCUCGAAAGCGUGGGGAGCAAACAGGAUUAGAUACCCUGGUAGUCCACGCCGUAAACGAUGAGUGCUAGGUGUUAGACCCUUUCCGGGGUUUAGUGCCGCAGCUAACGCAUUAAGCACUCCGCCUGGGGAGUACGACCGCAAGGUUGAAACUCAAAGGAAUUGACGGGGGCCCGCACAA
rnacentral:rRNA from 1 species